UCCUGUAAGCUGAAGGUAUGUUUCUGCAAGUGCGUGUGUAGGCAGCCCGCUCCAGAAAAGCCAGAAGCCCUUCACGAGGUUAUUUGAAUAACAUGCACAUUUGCAACUAAAAUUUUUCACUUACCAUUUGAACCAAAGAUUUCAUGUUCCUACUUUCCAGUUUUACUAUGUGCUAAAAUGUGAAACUCAACCUAAGGAGUGCAGGUCAAAUUAAAAAGAGAAAAACUGUAGUUCAGGAAAAGAGAAUCGAGACUUGAAGAAUAGACUGAAUUAUUAAUAUUUUCUCCUAUUGUUCAUUGAAUAGUUGAGCUGACAAUACUUAUUGUGUUCACAGAAUUUUAUUGUAACUAGGGUAUUGGGAACUGAGAAUGCAUGUUAUCUUAGAAACAAUCUCACAGACGCUGGCUAGCUUCCCAGGCAGUUCACCAAAGCCCUUUGAACUCAUAAUGUAAGUAAUUGGGAACGAGGGAAACUAAAGCCAGGGAAUAAAUAUUCCUUUUAAAUAUAAUAAAUACUUAAACAUCUCCAGUAUCUAAAUCUUUAAAUGUAGAUAUAAAACACUGGUAAUCUAAAUUUUUGAAAAAUAAAAUUGGUGACACACUGGUAGAGUCACGGCUAUGGACAGAGUAUGGGGGAGAUUCUGUUUGGAAUUCUGGUCACUUCCAAGGAUGCUAAAGACUGAGAUGCUGUGUCUUUAUUGGACCUUAUUUUGCCUCAAACUCAGAAGUUUUCUUUGUUGCAUAAAAGUGUCUCAAUCAUAAAUAUUAAUCUCUUGACCAUCAGCUAUAUUAGACGUUUUGUAUUUUUUUAACUCCUAAAGGGAAUUGUGAACUCUACUUCAAAAUCUUUUGCAAUUAGAAGGUAAUAGAAUUUACUCAAUUGCUAAGGCAAAACCUCUUCUGCUGUCUUAGACUCUUUUCAGUCUCAAAGUUUCGUUAGGUCUACCUUAUAAUUUCUUUCUUUGACUUUCAGGGUUCCAUCCCCAGGUUCUCAGAGUCUGUUGGCCUCAGCUUGAGACCACACUGUAACCAAGUAGAGUCAGGGAUCAAACCACUCUAUCUCAGGCCAGUUUCAAUUUCCUCCUUCCAGCAGGGCCUUCCAGAUGAUAAUUGUGUUCUUGGACUCUUUGGCUCUCACCCCACCAAGGUCAAGGCUAAGCUAAAGGCUAACAAACUGUCUAAAUGGUUUAGUUCCCUUCACUGUAGUUGGCCAAGGAUGUAGGGUGGACACUGAGUGACAUAAUGAAGUUAUUUUUUAUUUGGCGUCAAGUGGUCUUGGACUUUAAUCCAACUCUUCCUCUUUACUGGGUGGCCUUAACAAAUGAGUUUUCACUUCUCUGAGCCUCAGUGGUCUCACCUGCUAAGAAAGUAUCAUAAAGUGCCACAUAAUGUUUAAAAGCACCAUGAAAAGUUAUAGGCACAUAGAUAGAAAGUGAUCAGUAAAUGUUAGUUUUCCUCUCUCACCUCUUCCCUGACCUCCACCAUGGAAACCCAGAAAAUGGAGGGAGCAGACACACAGGUGGGAAACACUGCUGCAGAAAAGGGGUCCUAAGAUCCUUAUUUCCCCAAGAGGGUCCAGGUGCUCUUCUUCCUUCUGCCAGCAGCAGGAGAGGGGAAGGCCCUGAGUCUGGGGCUAGGACUCAGGGCUGCCGCAUAGCAUUGUGCAAACUGUCCCACAUGAGGGCCAUUGCCAAGGGAGACAAAUGGGAGUUGAAAUCUGGCCUGAGCUUUGCUUGCCAAACCCAGUGUCUUGGCUCAGGACUGCUGUCAGCCUGGAUAAAGGGAGCCUCUUGUCAAAAUGGUUUGCCCAUAAAGGCACCUUUUGACAACUUCUCUGUCUAGAGAGGGCAUUCUUUUCAAGAACAAAACAGCAGCAUAGCCAAGUGCUAAAAAACGACUUGUGGGAGUAAGUUUCAUUGUUAGUGAUCCUUGGAGUGUCCCUAUCGCACAAGGAAAAAGGAGUUUAGAGACAGAGAAAGGACGAGAUCAGUCCUGAGCCCACUUUCACAUGGAAUGAAUAUUUCCUAUAAUAGGUAUUCGUUAGCGACUAAUUAGUAUAAUUUACCAUAUACAAGGAUUAUGCAUUUGUUUAACAGUUAAAUUUUACACCCUGACUUUUCAUAAAUUAGAUCCAAAUUCAUAGAGGAAACACUCUAUACCACUUCCAACUGUAGAACUGCAAGCCACAAGUUUUUUAAUUAGGCUUUUUAUUCUGAGUUAUCUGUAGAUUCACAUCCACUUGUAAGAAAUCAUUCAAAGAGAUCCCGUGUACCCUUUACCCAGUUUCUGCCAGUGGAAAACCUUGUAAAAUUGUAGUACGAUAUCGACAUUGUUAUAGUCAAGAGACAGAACAUUCCAUCAUCACCAGGAUCACUCAUAUUAGCUACACCCCACCCCUUCCUUAAAUUCCAGCAAUCACUAAUCUGUACUCCAUUUCUGUAAUUGUGUCAUUUCAAGAUUAUUAUAUAAAUUGAAUGAUGCAACGUAGAAUCUUUUAGGGUUGGUUUCUUUUUUUUCACUCAGCAUGAAGAGAUUGAUUAUGGAGAUUGAUCAAGGUGGUUGCAUGUAUUAGCAGUUUGUUCCUUUUAAUUGCUGAGUAGCAUUCCACGGUAUGGGCCGACCUCAGUUUGUUUGACCAAUUUACCCAUUGAAGGGCGUGCGGGCUGUUUCCAGCUUUGGGGUGGUACAAAUAGACAUUUGCUGCUAUAAGCAUUUGUGUACAGGUUUUCAUGUGAGCAUAAAUCAUCAUUUCUCUGAGAUAAAUGCUCAGGAGUGUCAGGUCAUAUGGUAAGCAUAUGUUUGGUUUUUUAAGAAACUACCAUACUUUUUUCCACAGUGGUUUAACAUUCUCACCAACAAUGUAUGAGUGAUCCAGUAUCUCCACAUCUUUGUCAGCAUCAGUUUUGUCACUGUGUUAUGUUGGAGCCAUUCUGAAAGGUGUGCAGUGAUAUCUCAUGAUAGUUUUAACUCACAUUUUUCUGACUAAUGGCAUUGAACAUCUGUUCAUGCACUUUUUCUUAUUGUCCCACUGUAUAUCCUCUUUAGUGAAAUACCUCCUUAUAUCUUUUUCCUGUUUUCUAAUUGGAUUGUUUGUUUUGCAUUGUUGCCAAGUGGAGGUUGGAGACCAGGUUUCCCACUUGACCUCCAUUGACACCCAAAGUGGGCAGGGCUCCUUGUUACUGCCAAUCGGGUGCAGAAGUUUCAGCUCCCCAUGUGGUCCCCACUGACACAGUGGGCAGGAAGGGGCUCAUUACCAGACAGCCUGAGGAAAAGUCCCAGAUCCCUGCUUGGCCUUCCUUGAUACCAUCCUGAAACAAGAUAGCAGAUUGGUGAUCCAGUGGUGACCAGGUCUACAUGGUUUGUGAUGAGCCAGAACACCCAGGUCCUAGAACUACACAUCCCAUUACCUACAUUGCAGGACUCCAGUGGAAAUAUCAUUGUUUGGAGAAUAGCCAACUGACAAUGUUAUUCCUCCUCAAAGGGAGAAACUUCUUUAAAUCUGCAAGAAUUUUACUCUGUACCUUUGAUGUGAAAAUUUCAUCAUCUGUUUCUGGGAAAGCUUGCUACGUUAUAUAAGAAUAUAAAGAAAGAAAUGAAGAGAGGCCACCAGUCUCAACUUUUGCAAUCUACAGAUUUCAGCUUCAAAGCAAAAACGACAGAUUAAUUUCUCAAGUCUUGAAUUUUACUUGGAAGGAAAACAACAUUCAGAUCUUAUUUGCAUCUGAUGGCUCAGUUUUAUAAAUGGCAAAGCCAUAAGCUUGUGCACAGAACUCCUUCUGGGACUGGCAUCUGUGCUCAUGCACUGCAUCCUAAAAGUGGUGAAGAGCUUUCUACCUAUAUCUACUUUUUGAAAGAUGUCACUGUGAAAUGUGUUAUUGCCUGAUAGCAUGUGAAUAACAUCCUCAGCCAGAACCCUGGAAUCCUUUGCUGUUUGGGACAAUUCACCCUCCCAUAAUUGCAAUCUUUGUGAGCCUAGCCACUCUUCUGCAUAAGGUCAUAGCCCAGAAUGAUCCACCUCUUCCUUGAUAUCUCCCGAUUUGGUCAUAGCCCAGAAUGAUCCACCUCUUCCUUGAUAUCUCCCGAUUUGUUCCUUUCCUUAGCACCAGGUAGCUAUAGUCCUCUUUAACUUACUGUGUUUCAUUCUUUCACUCCCUUGUCCUUCCCAGAGCAUAACUGUGAGCAAAGUGGAUAUGAGGUAACAUUGACAGGUGAGAAAUCGUGCUAUUAUCUCCCUUAGGAGUUAUACCAUUUUGCAACCUGAAAGGUUAAGAUUAGGGAAACCAAUCAUUCCAAGUGACAUCUUAUAUAAAAGACACAUCUAAUUUUAUCGUGUUGUUAAAUCUUUAUGCAGAUGAUUAAAUCUUUGAAUUUUCCCACUGCAGAAAAGACACAUUAUAACCAGCCUCUGCCAUCCAAGUUUCUUCAAAUUAUAUAUGUUCCAUACAGUACGUGCAUUUCUGAUAUAUAUAUAUAUAUAUAUAUAUGUAUACACACACACACACUCAUGUAUAUACCAGAUAACAGACUAUAUAUAUCAUACACACAUAUAUUAGAAAGCAGACUACACAGAUAAGCAGUCAUUAUGUAGAUUCUUCACCCUUCCUUGGCAGACAUCUUACCCCAUAAACCAUAUUAUUUCUGCUUUAGAAUGAGCAAGUUGGGGUUAAGCCUUGACCUAAAACCUGUCAUGGACAGCUUGUUUACUUCUUUUUAUCAUUCUAAAAAUCCAAGAAAAACAAAAACAUUGACUUAGCAAAAAAAGAGGAAAUUUUCUCAUAAAAAGUUUAGUAUUUUUGUGUUUUAGGUUGGCAGUUCUAACCUAUCUAAUUAAUCCUUCAAAAAACUCACUGGGGUUGGUAGGUGAGCCACAGGUAUAAUUACACAUUAAUUUCCAAAUUUAGAAGAUGUGCCACAGGUUGGAAAACACAUGGAAGGUUAAGGAAGUUAUUACAGCAGCAGGUAGCUACAGAGUUAGAAUGAAAACUGAUGUUUUCUCUCAUGUUUGGGCCCUUUGGGUAAAGCUGGAGUUCUCAAAUGCUGCUCAGCUGACCACCAGCAUCAGAGCAACCUGGGAGCUUUUAAGAAUCAGAUUUCUAUAGCUAAUCCCCAAGAGAUUUUGCUUUAGAACAUCAUUUGUAGGGGCCAGAAAUCUAUAUUUUAGAAGCUUUCCAGACAAUUCUAAUGUGCAGCUAGAUUUGGGAACCAGCAGGCAGAAACUUGUUGAUUCUGUUCACGAAACCUUGCAAUAGCAGAUGCUACAUUGCAAAUGUCAGCUAUAGAUCAGGGAUUGUCAGACUUUAGCAAGGGGCAGAUGAAUGGAUUGGUCCCAAGAGAGUCUCAAUAGACAGAAGAAGCACUGAGUGGCUUUGUUGGGGAGGGGAGUUAGCUUAGCCCCUGAUAAUCUCCAUUAAAUCAAAGAAAUAGACAAUCUAAGUAAAAACAUGUUCUUCUUGUGCAAAAGAACCUCACAAAACUGACUUUCUGCCCACUGUCCCUCCAUUUCAGCCCUUUACUAGGAGUCCCAUGGCUCAGCUAUUAAUAUAUUGAAAUUAUGCAGCUGUCAUGACAUCCAGUCUAUGCUUCCACUUCAGAGAAAACCAACUAGAGGAACAUUAACAAUUGGGAAACUAUUAGAAAGAUAAGGAUGGCUCCACUCAGAAUAUAACUGUUCAACGUGUGCUUGAAAAUAUUGUGUAUUCUCUAACUGUAAGCAUUAUGUGCGUAAGACGAAGUUUGCUAAUUGAAUUUGUUAAGUUUUCAGUAAGCUUAAUUCUUUGCCUGUUAAAUCUAUCAUUUCUAAGAGAUAUGUUUAAACUCUCCCAUUAUUACGGAGAUUUAUCCAGUUUUCUUUGUAAUAAUCUCCAAUUUCGCUUUAUAUAUCUUGAGGAUAGCUGUUCAAUGUACAUACAUUCAAGACUAUUAUGCUUUCUUGACAACUUGUUUCAUUUAUGAUUGUGUAACAAGUGUCUCUACCCCUGACAAUGUUUCUUCCUUAAAGUCUAUCUUGGUGUUAAUAGUAUUUCUUAGCAAUUGUCUGGUAUGUUUUUUAUUUAUUUUUCUACUUUUGGUCUUUCUUUGUUAUUACAUUUUAAGUGUGUAUUUUGUAAGUGGUAUAGGGCUGAAUUUAUUAAAACCUAAUUUUUACAACCCUUGUCUUUUAACUGGUGAGUGUAACUGAUUCAUGAUUAUAAUUACUGAGAUAUUUAAUUAUUUUCAUCUUAUUUUGUGUCAUUGAUUUUCUCCUUUCCUGCCUUUUACUAAAUUAAUCAACUUUUCUAUGCCAUUUUUCCCCCUCUUCUAGUUUUUAGGUAUACAUUUCAUUCCUAUUCUUUACUGGUUACAUACAUUCUUCACUUCAGAACGUUUAAAAAUUAUGAUCUUUCUUAUGUCCUAAGAUUGACAAAGAUUUUUUUAAGAAAAAAGUCAAGUAUUUCCUUGGAAAAAUAAGUGGAGCAAAUUAUUGAAUUUCCUGAUAACUCAAAGUCACAAUAUAUUGAUUUGGAUAAUAGUACUUUGGAAUUGAGUUAAUUAUGUGACUCAUUUUAUGGUGGUGAAGAGCAGAUUGGGAAAUACCUUGGGGGCCUUGGAGGGGAAAGAGGAAGGCACUGGUGCUCAAAGUUUCAGCAAGUCUACCCACGGGGCUCCCUGAAGACUAUGGUUGACCCCUGCUCUGUUAACGUUGGAUCUUGCUCUUCUGUUCACA